rnacentral:misc_RNA from 1 species
UUUCCGUAGGUGAACCUGCGGAAGGAUCAUUAACACGUUUUUCCGAACGUUUUGACCCACCCUAUUCUCCGUGCACUUUACAACCCGGCUUCCUGACCCAACCUGCCGGUUUACUGGCUGUGUUCUGGUCGGGCGUCUUCAGGGCUCAAGGCCCCGUUGUCAGAAAGAUUGUCCGUGCGUAAUGCAUGUCUUUCAAGUAUGACUUUGCGGACCUCCUGGAGGCGUUGCCACCCGACCCAAAACCCUUGAAUCUAACUGCUCUGACUUUUAAGUUGCGUGCGAUUCAGUACCCUCGUGGUUUGCUUUGUGCCAACGAUCUGAAUCAACAACAACUCUUAACAAUGGAUAUCUUGGUUCUC